AUUGAACGCUGGCGGCAGGCCUAACACAUGCAAGUCGAACGAGUGGCGGACGGGUGAGUAAUGUCUGGGAAACUGCCUGAUGGAGGGGGCUAACUACUGGAAACGGUAGCUAAUACCGCAUACAAUAAGAUGUGCCCAGAGGGGAUUAGCUUUUUGGUGGGGUAACGGGUCACAAAGGCGACGAUCCCUAGCUGGUCGUAGAGGAUGACCAGCCACACUGGAACUUAGACACGGUCCAGACUCCUACGGGAGGCAGCAGUGGGGAAUAUUGCACAAUGGACGAAAGCUUGAUGCAGCCAUGCCGGGUGUAUGAAGAAGGCCUUCGGGUUGUAAAGUACUUUCAGCGGAGAGGCGUUACCCGCAGAAGAAGCACCGGCUAACUCCGUGCCAGCAGCCGCGGUAAUUC
rnacentral:rRNA from 1 species